rnacentral:rRNA from 1 species
GACGAACGCUGGCGGCGUGCUUAACACAUGCAAGUCGAACGGAAAGGCCCUGCUGUUGUGGGGUGCUCGGGGGGCGAACGGGUGAGUAACACGUAAGUAACCUGCCCUUCACUUUGAGGUAACUUCAACAAACUGGGACUCAUACCAGAUCCGUCCUCCUGCUGCCUGGUGGGGGGUGGAAAUUUUCGGCGGUUGGGGAUGUCCCCGCGGCUUAUCAGGUUGGUGGUGGGGUAGUGGCUUAACAAGGCGUUGGCGGGUAGCCGGCGUGCGAGGGUGGUCGGCCACAGUGGGACUGAGGACCGGCACAGACGGCUACGGGAGGCAGCAGUGGGGAAUAUGGGACAAUGGGCGGAAGCCUGAUGCAGCAACGCCGGGUGCGGGAUGACGGCCUUCGGGCUGUAAGCCGCUUUGGCGCGUGACGAAGCGUGAGUGACGGUAAUGGCUAAAGAAGCACCGGCUAACUACGUG